rnacentral:misc_RNA from 1 species
GGGCCGUAGAGGUCUUUAGGAAAUUUUCCGGUGACGGAUGAUUUGGUUCUCUCGCGCUUCUGUUGCUUGUCGUCUUCCCUGAAUGCCUUCAUCAGCGUUCAGGAAAAUUGUGACGAUUUACGUGCGGAGGAGCGAGGGAUUAAUAGGUGAUCAUGGAUAUAAAAGAAAUGGUAUAUGUGGGAUUAAAUUUUGUGGGUUGUGCUUGAGUUAAAAGAAAUGAAUCCAAUGCUGGACAUUUGCCAUAUGAAUGCCAAUUUUGGAAAUGUGAUGGCUAAUCUCCCGUGGAAUACUAAACCGAUCCUGUGAGAAGAAGGGCCUUUGGCAUGCGCUACUACCAUUCUGUAUGAAAUUCUUAAAAAUGGCGGUGGCCAUUGAUCAACAUCAUGGAUUUGGACCGUUUAAUCGACCUAAGAGAUGCAGACUCCAAUCCUUUACUCACUUUGAUAACAACAUUGUUGAAAUUAGCCAAACCAAUCUUACCAACUCCUUAAAACAAGCAUUUGAAGUUGCUAAUAUUCACCGAAGCUUCUCUACUCCGUGCUUCUCCCUAGCCACAAGAUUGGAAGACGAGCUUGAUGCCAACCCAAGAGUCGAAAUUGUUGGCGGCCAUGGAGCACCUAGAGUGCGUGCCCUUGUUGUUGAGGUUGCAAUAGCUAUAGCCUCUGGUAUUGGUCCAAUGCCAGUCGCAAGUGGACUAGGUGGCGCUUACUUCAUACGCGACAAGAGUGGUGAUAAUAUUGCCGUCAUAAAGCCAAUUGAUGAAGAACCUUUAGCCUUUAACAAUCCAAAAGGUUUUGGUGGAUUGAUGCUAGGUCAACCUGGAAUGAAACGUUCAAUUCAAAUUGGUGGAACUGGAAUUCGUGAAUUAGCUGCUUAUCUUCUUGAUCAUGAUGGCUUUGCUGGUGUUCCUCCAACAGCCUUGGUCAAAAUAACUCAUGUUGGAUUCCAUAUAAAUAAUGGUGCUGAUGCAACCACCACAUCAGCUCCACCAUAUAAGAUUGCCUCACUCCAACAUUUUGUAGAUCACGAUUUUGACGCAGGGGAAUUAGGCCCUUCAGACUUCUCAGUUGCUUCAGUUCAUCAAAUUGGAAUUUUUGAUGUUAGGCUCCUAAAUCUUGAUAGACACUCUGGAAAUAUGCUAGUCAAGAAGAAUGAUCACCGUGGAAAUUAUGCAAUUGGGGUAGUUGAGCUUGUGCCAAUAGACCAUGGACUUUGCCUACCUGAAUGGCUUGAUGAUCCUUAUUUUGAAUGGCUACAUUGGCCUCAAGCCUCGAUUCCCUUUUCAGAGUCUGAAUUUGACUACAUAUACAAUCUUGAUCCUUUUAAAGAUGCAGAGCUGUUAAGGUCUGAGCUUCCUUCUCUAGGGGAAUCAUCUAUCCGAGUUCUUAUCCUUUGCACUAUUUUCUUAAAGCAAGCUGUUUCUGCUGGGCUUUGCCUUGCUGAUAUAGGUGAAAUGAUGACUCGUGAGUUCCGUGGUGGAGAGGAAAAUUUAAGUGUGCUAGAGAGUCUUUGUGCAAAAAUAAAGGCAAGUUUGGUUAAUAAAUCCAUUGGUGAUGACAUUUAUAAUGGUGAUGAUCAGAAUAAUGAGCAAAGUAUAGAAGAAAAAGAAGAGGCUGCUAUAUUUCAAUUUGAUGAUGAAAGUGAAAAUGCUUUGAGUGAGGUUUUGGAUGUCCAUCAACUCUUACAAUUUCCACCUAAGAUGGCUAACUUGUCAAAAAAUCCAAGGUUUUCAUCCAUAAGAUCAAUGCCUAAGCUGCAAGAUUCAGCAGCAUUAUCUCCAGUAUGUAAGCAAAACGACUACGAAGAUGAUGAUGAUGAUGAUGAU